GACGAACGCUGGCGGCGUGCCUAAUACAUGCAAGUAGAACGCACAGGAUGCACCGUAGUUUACUACACCGUAUUCUGUGAGUUGCGAACGGGUGAGUAACGCGUAGGUAACCUGCCUGGUAGCGGGGGAUAACUAUUGGAAACGAUAGCUAAUACCGCAUAAGAACAUUUACUGCAUGGUAGAUGUUUAAAAGGUGCAAGAGCAUCACUACCAGAUGGACCUGCGUUGUAUUAGCUAGUUGGUGAGGUAACGGCUCACCAAGGCAACGAUACAUAGCCGACCUGAGAGGGUGAUCGGCCACACUGGGACUGAGACACGGCCCAGACUCCUACGGGAGGCAGCAGUAGGGAAUCUUCGGCAAUGGGGGGAACCCUGACCGAGCAACGCCGCGUGAGUGAAGAAGGUUUUCGGAUCGUAAAGCUCUGUUGUUAAGGAAGAACGUGUGUGAGAGUGGAAAGUUCACACAGUGACGGUACUUAACCAGAGAGGGACGGCUAACUACGUGCCAGCAGCCGCGGUAAUACGUAGGUCCCGAGCGUUGUCCGGAUUUAUUGGGCGUAAAGCGAGCGCAGGCGGUUAGAUAAGUCUGAAGUGAAAGGCAGUGGCUCAACCAUUGUAGGCUUUGGAAACUGUUUAACUUGAGUGCAGAAGGGGAGGGUGGAAUUCCAUGUGUAGCGGUGAAAUGCGUAGAUAUAUGGAGGAACACCGGUGGCGAAAGCGGCUCUCUGGUCUGUAACUGACGCUGAGGCUCGAAAGCGUGGGGAGCGAACAGG
rnacentral:rRNA from 1 species